rnacentral:rRNA from 1 species
GACAGAGGGUGCAAACGUUGUUCGGAAUUACUGGGCGUAAAGCGCGUGUAGGCGGCUACGUGUGUCGGGCGUGAAAGCCCACGGCUCAACCGUGGAAGUGCACCCGAAACUGCGUAGCUAGAGUCCUGGAGAGGAAGGUGGAAUGCUUGGUGUAGAGGUGAAAUUCGUAGAUAUCAAGCGGAACACCGGUGGCGAAGGCGGCCUCUGGACAGUGACUGACGCUGAGACG